rfam:Pediococcus cellicola strain DSM 17757 Scaffold4, whole genome shotgun sequence.
AAAUUAUAAUAAAAUUUGCCUAAGACUCAGGUGACGAUUUCGUCUUAAUAUUACCUGCCGAGGAACGUAGAAAUGUAAAUUUCCGUAUCCCAGGUCUGGGUGCGGAUUUUUUUAUAAUUAA